rnacentral:tRNA from 1 species
AGCUAGAAUAGCAAAGAUGGUAAAUGCGAGAAAUCUAAGUUUUCUUUAACAAAGGUUCAAAUCCUUUUUUUAGUUU